UUGAGAGUCCUGAGAAGAAAAUCCUCUGAUUCUCCAGAGAACAGGUACGACAUGGGCUACGGCAGUGAAGGCUUCCCCACAUUGCUCAGUGAAUAUGUUCCUACCUUGAUCUGGAGGUACUGUGUAGGCGAGAGGCUAGUUCACUCACUGUUCCCUUUCAGCCCUUGGUCUUG
rnacentral:sRNA from 1 species